rnacentral:rRNA from 1 species
UAGGGAAUCUUCGGCAAUGGGGGGAACCCUGACCGAGCAACGCCGCGUGAGUGAAGAAGGUUUUCGGAUCGUAAAGCUCUGUUGUUAAGGAAGAACGAGUGUGAGAAUGGAAAGUUCAUACUGUGACGGUACUUAACCAGAAAGGGACGGCUAACUACGUGCCAGCAGCCGCGGUAAUACGUAGGUCCCGAGCGUUGUCCGGAUUUAUUGGGCGUAAAGCGAGCGCAGGCGGUUAGAUAAGUCUGAAGUUAAAGGCAGUGGCUCAACCAUUGUAGGCUUUGGAAACUGUUUAACUUUAGUGCAGAAGGGGACAGUGGAAUUCCAUGUGUAGCGGUGAAAUGCGUACAUAUAUGGAGGAACACCGGUGGCGAAAGCGGCUCUCUGGUCUGUAUCUGACGCUGAGCCUCCAAAGCGUGGGGAGCUAACAGG